UUAUCACAGAGCAGAGUUGGCGGCUUGAAACUCACAGUCAGGAAAAAAAAAGAGGCUGAUUUGAUGAAAUAAUUACAAGAGACGGAACGAGAGGGAGAAGGAGAGUUUACAGCUGGCAGGAACCUGAAAGGGCAGAGUCGAUUCGUAGGAAAGUGUUGGCGAUUUUAGCUGUUCCUCACUGCAGUCUAGAUUGUGACCCCAUUGCUUGUGCUGAGUGCUGCCUCUGGCUGGUCUAAGUGCUUAAUCCUGCUGUGGGGACAGUGUUUCUGUGGAAGAGAUGGCCCAGUCCGCACUAGCAGCAAGGUUUCCCCACUGACAGCUGGAUGGAACCUCAAGAGACCAACUCACAGAGGUCACAGUGGCAGGUGGCAGCAGAAGGUGAUGGCGCAGGGCCAUUGGCAACAGAGCAGUGGAGUCAACGGUGGCACAACGAACAACACUGGCUAGAGCGAACAGUGAGCAGCUGGAGGAACAAACAAGGUGCCUUCUUGCCCCCCACCUGGGAGAUGAACUCAUGUGAAAGCACCUCUGAACUCUGAGUCUCUACUGACCAAGGACAACACCGGUCAAAGUGAAAAUGAAAAGACAAAAAACAAUACAACAAUUUUUCCACUCAAAAGUCUCAAAAACUAAGCAAGGUGAAGAACACAUCAAGAACCAAGAAUAUAUCAACAUGUCAUCUGAAGGUUCAAGUGGUGUAUCUACAUCCAACCAGCCCGAAGCACAAAUACACCUACCUACUGAAGAAACAGUGUCUCCAAAACCUAAAGGCAAUUCCCGAUGUUUGUCAGUCAAAGUGUUCCCAUUUAUUGAAGUUACAAAAGACGGCUACUGGUCCACCUCUUGCAAAAAAACUUACGAAGAAGGAAAGCUUCCCAAUGCUAUGAUUGGUAAAAGUGGAGGAGCUGGGUUUGUCAGACUGAUCAGCAAAGCCAAUGCUGACAAACUACACGAAAAGGCAGCAAAACACCAGGCCUCUGGGCUGCAGAAAGCCUUAUAAGCCCACUUUCAAAGCCAAUUUUAAAAGUACUUAAUGAGGCUGUUAAGAAUGCUGGAGACACAACACAGUUCAUGCAAAGAAACACGGCCGUGGCCUCCUACUGUCUAUUUAAGCAAGAGAUACCACGCACUACAAAUUGCAGGCCAAUGGUAAGUGCAUUGUCACUUGUUCAUCCUGUAGCUGAACACUGGUUCCGAACAAGACCCGCAAAUGCUCGCUAUCUUUCUGCAAGAAACUCAACUGACUGGCUAGACGCGUGUGGUGCAACAGUGAAAGACUCAAUAGUUGAAAAAGUGAAGAACUCUCUCACCACAUUCAAAAAAAUUGCAUACAUGGCUGAUGAAUGCACUGACGCAAAUGGGCAUCAAGUAUUAAGUCAUUGUGUACGUUAUCUUGAUGUCAGUGGUAAGACAGUAGAUGCAAUUCUAGAUGUUCAAGUUAUAGAAGACACAUUGGCUGCAUCUGUGACAACCCACAUCGUAGAAGAAUUAAAAUUCUUGUCAAUUGGACCCCAAACAGAUGGCUGCUUGUGCAUUUGAUGGAGCUGCAAACUUCUCUGGAAGCCAUGGUGGAGUACAAGCUUUGCUCAGAGAAAAGUUUCAGAGUAGCAGCCGUGUUAGUCUGUAUCCGCAAAAAGAAAAGGAGUACUUGUGGCACCUUAGAGACUAACCAAUUUAUUUAAGCAUAAGCUCAAAUAAUGUGCUAUUACCUUCAGAGAAGACUAUUGCCAUUCUCUCUCUCGUAAAAAGAAAAGGAGUACUUGUGGCA